GAUGAAGAACGCAGUGAAAUGCGAUAAGUAAUGUGAAUUGCAGAAUUCAGUGAAUCAUCGAAUCUUUGAACGCAUCUUGCGCUCCUUGGUAUUCUGAGGAGCAUGCCUGUUUGAGUGUCAUUAAAUUCUCAACUACACUGACUUUGAAUUGGUGUGGCUUGGAUUUGGGGGGAAAAUUGUUGUGGGCUUUUUGUAUAGUCUGCUCCCCUGAAAUUGAUUAGCGGUACCUUUGUGGAACUGUCUACAGGUGUGAUAAUUAUCUACAUCUUAGACAUCUGCUGGAAUACUGCUCUCUAAACCUUACUUGUAUUGACAAUCUUGACCUCAAAUCAGGUAGGACUACCCGCUGAACUUAAGCAUAUCAAUAAGCGGAGGA
rnacentral:misc_RNA from 1 species